rnacentral:lncRNA from 1 species
AGGUAAUGAGAAAUUCUGUCUUGUCUCCUGGCACCUCUUCCUUUUCCUUUGAGGGACCACCAUAUCCCAUCUCACAAUCCAUUAAGGUUUGAAUGGAGUGGACCCCAACCCCAAGUGCGACCCCAGCCUGGCCAAUCAGACACAGUGACUGGUCAGCAUGUGACCUGGUGUGGCCAAUGAGAACCAGCCCCCAAAGACCACUGCUGCAACUCCGGGGAAAUUGGCAAACUUUCUCCACUGGGGAGGACAGGCUGCUGGGGUGUAAGCCUGGAGCUGCAAGUCUCCGCUACCUUAGGAGGAGACCCUGAAAGCUUGAAUUGGGCUUCCAUCUCUCACGACUCAAAGAAAACUGACAAAUACCUCCUUCAGCUACUGAGAAAUUGUCAACAAUCCUCCCUCAUCAACAUGAUAAUCACCAAACUCCCACCUCUGCCAUGCAAAGGCCUUGGGGCUCUAAACCCAGCUUCCUCCCUCCCAUUUCUUCCCUGAUGCCACUCCAUGCCUUGGUCCACCACUAUACAUCUUUGGAUAUCUCCAAAUUCUCCUUAGCUAUCUGGGCCCCAUUACAGCUUCUCUUGUCUAAGACCUGGAUCAUACUCAUGUAUGUCCUGAUGGUAUCUGCUGUGCGUCUAGGCCUUAGAAUUGGUCAUUAGCAUUCCCUGAAUGUUUCCAUCUUAUUCUUGGAUGUGGGAAGCACUUGGGCUGAUGGGGCACUGCAGAGCGUUGCCGGCUCACAUUUCUUGGAGGGGAAUCACAGUCUCUUCUCUGCAUCUGCGUCUCCCUCCUCAUGCCUUGCACAAUGCUUCAGGGCUGGGAGUAGGAAUGUAUUAAUAUAGCAAGCUGGCUGGGUUGCAGUGGCUCCCGCCUGUAAUCCCAGCACUUUGGGAGGCCAAAGCAGGAGGAUCCCUUGAGCCCAGGAGUUUGAGACCAGCCUGGGCAACAUAGUGAGACCCAGUCUAAAAAAAAAGAGAGAGAGAAAAGAAAGGAAGGAAGAAAAGAAAAAAAGAGAAAGAAAGAAGAGAAAAGAGGAAUAAAAUAUAUCAGGCAAAUCCCUUAUCCUCACUGGCUUCAAUUUCCCUGUCACUAAGAGGGGUGGGCGGGGGGGCGUCCCCUCCUAAGAGAAACACUGGAGAACACAGGAUCCUUACCUCUCCGCACUCUUCUGAGACCUGGCAGAUCUGAGAAUAAACUUCAGCAAUGACAGUGGCCCUGGAGAGCACAGGAAGGCCCUCAGGAGGGGACUCUCCUCCUUCCACCCCACCCUCAUUCCACCCCACCCUUCCUCACCCCAACUCACUUGCAGUCCAGCCCUCCCCCAGGAGGUAAAUCUGGGAUGUCCUCUGAGGCCAGAGUCCUGAAAACUGUGUUCAGGCUGGGGGGCUUCUGAGCAGAGGCACACAGUUCUGAGAAAGAGUCAAGAGUUAGGCUGGGCACAGUGGCGCACGCCUGUAAUCCCAGCACUUUGGGAGACCAAGGCGGGCGGAUCACUUGAGGCCAGGGGUUCGAGACCAGCCUGGACAACAUCGUGAAACCCCGUCUAUACUAACAAUACAAAAAUUAGCUGGGUGUGAUUGUGCAUGCCUGUAAUCCCAGCUACUCAGGAGGCUGAGGCAGGAGAAUCGCUUGAACCCGGAAGGCAGAGGUUGCAGUGAGCCAAGAUCACGCCACUGCACUCCAGCCUAGGAGACAGAGCAAGACUCCAUCUCAAAAAAAAAAAGAAAAAAAGAAAAAGUUAUGGCACAGCCUUCACUGGCCAACCACCCCUCCAGCUGGGCCCCCAGAGUCUGCUCACCAGCGAUUCUGCAGCCCAGGGCUGCGUCCAGUGCUAGCUCCCUCCUGAUCGCCUCCUCAGAAGGCC